UAGGGAAUAUUGGACAAUGGGGGCAACCCUGAUCCAGCCAUGCCGCGUGAGUGAAGAAGGCCCUCGGGUUGUAAAGCUCUUUUGUCCGGAAAGAAAAGCUUCGGGUUAAUACCCCGGGGUUCUGACGGUACCGGAAGAAUAAGCACCGGCUAACUUCGUGCCAGCAGCCGCGGUAAUACGAAGGGUGCAAGCGUUACUCGGAAUUACUGGGCGUAAAGCGUGCGUAGGUGGUUGUUUAAGUCUGAUGUGAAAGCCCUGGGCUCAACCUGGGAAUGGCACUGGAAACUGGGCAGCUAGAGUGCGGUAGAGGGUAGUGGAAUUCCCGGUGUAGCAGUGAAAUGCGUAGAGAUCGGGAGGAACAUCUGUGGCGAAGGCGACUGCCUGGACCAGCACUGACACUGAGGCACGAAAGCGUGGGGAGCAAACAG
rnacentral:rRNA from 1 species